AGACCGUUCUCUUCAGAGGCCGGUCAUUGGAAUGGGUACAAUUUAAACCCUUUAACGAGUAUCUAUGAGAGGGCAAGUCUGGUGCCAGCAGCCGCGGUAAUUCCAGCUCUCAAAAUGCAUAGAAUCAUUGCUGCGGUUAAAAAGCUCGUAGUUGGAUCUGUGCUGGCGGGUCGGUCCACCUUCGGGUGCGCACUGAUUUCGCCGGCUUUCCUGCUGUAUUUGGCCCUGUGCCUUUCAACGGGUGCAGUGUCCAGUGCAGCAAGUUUACCUUGAACAAAUCAGAGUGCUUCAAACAGGCGUUUCGCUUGAAUGUUCGUGCAUGGAAUAAUAGAAGGGGAUUUCGGUUCUAUUUUAUUGGUUUUAUAGACUGAGAUAAUGGUUAACAGAGACUAACGGGGGCAUUAGUAUUGCUACGUGAGAGGUGAAAUUCUUGGACCGUAGCAAGACUGACUACAGCGAAAGCAUUUGCCAAGAAAGUCUUCAUUAAUCAAGAACGAAAGUCAGAGGUUCGAAGGCGAUCAGAUACCGCCCUAGUUCUGACCGUAAACGAUGCCAACUAGUGAUCCGCCGGUGGAACAUUCGCCCUGGUGGGGAACUUCCCGGAAACGAAAGUCUUCCGGUUCCGGGGGAAGUAUGGUUGCAAAGCUGAAACUUAAAGGAAUUGACGGAAGGGCACCACCAGGAGUGGAGCCUGCGGCUUAAUUUGACUCAACACGGGAAAACUCACCCGGCCCGGACACCGUAAGGAUUGACAGAUUGAUAGCUCUUUCAUGAUUCGGUGGAUGGUGGUGCAUGGCCGUUCUUAGUUCGUGGAGCGAUUUGUCUGGUCUAUUCCGAUAACGAGCGAGACUCUGGCCUACUAAAUAGUUUACACAUUGCUUCUGUGUGCAUAACUUCUUAGAGGGAUUUUCGGUGUUCAGCCGCAAGAAAUUGAGCAACAACAGGUCUGUGAUGCCCUUAGAUGUCCGGGGCUGCACGCGCGCUACACUGGCAAAAUCAGCGUGCUUGUCCUUCCCCGAAAGGGGUUGGUAAACUCGUGAAAAUUUGCCGUGAUUGGGAUCGGAAAUUGCAAUUAUUUUCCGUGAACGAGGAAUUCCAAGUAAGUGCGAGUCAUCAACUCGCGUUGAUUACGUCCCUGCCCUUUGUACACACCGCCCGUCGCUGCCCGGGACUGAGCCGUUUCGAGAAACUUGGAGACCGCUGAUCUGGUAACUUCGAUUGCCAUUUUGGUGGGAACCAAUUUAA
rnacentral:rRNA from 1 species